GUCUUCGUGGUAUAACGUAGCACACUCGCUUAUAUUCGAGAGAUCCAGGUUCGAGUCCCGGCAAAGGCA
rnacentral:tRNA from 1 species